UACGAAGGGGGCUAGCGUUGCUCGGAAUUACUGGGCGUAAAGGGCGCGUAGGCGGCACUGUUAGUCAGGCGUGAAAUUCCUGGGCUCAACCUGGGGACUGCGCUUGAUACGGCAGAGCUUGAGGAUGGAAGAGGGUCGCGGAAUUCCCAGUGUAGAGGUAGAAAUUCGUAGGAUAUUGGGGAAGAACACCGGUGGCGAAGGCGGCGACCUGGUCCAUUACUGACGCUGAGGCGCGACAGCGGUGGGGAGCAAACAGG
rnacentral:rRNA from 1 species